GACGAACGCUGGCGGCGUGCUUAACACAUGCAAGUCGAACGGAAAGGCCCUGCUUUUGUGGGGUGCUCGAGUGGCGAACGGGUGAGUAACACGUGAGUAACCUGCCCUUGACUUUGGGAUAACUUCAGGAAACUGGGGCUCAUACCGGAUAGGAGCUCCUGCUGCAUGGUGGGGGUUGGAAAGUUUCGGCGGUGGGGGAUGGACUCGCGGCUUAUCAGCUUGUUGGUGGGGUAGUGGCUUACCAAGGCUUUGACGGGUAGCCGGCCUGGGAGGGUGACCGGCCACAUUGGGACUGAGAUACGGCCCAGUCUCCUACGGGAGGCAGCAGUGGGGAAUAUUGCACAAUGGGCGGAAGCCUGAUGCAGCAACGCCGCGUGCGGGAUGACGGCCUUCGAGUUGUAAACCGCUUUCGCCUGUGACGAAGCGUGCGUGACGGUAAUGAGUAAAGAAGCACCGGCUAACUACGUG
rnacentral:rRNA from 1 species